UACGGAGGGUGCAAGCGUUAUCCGGAUUCACUGGGUUUAAAGGGUGCGUAGGUGGGCAAGUAAGUCAGUGGUGAAAUCUCCGGGCUUAACCCGGAAACUGCCAUUGAUACUAUUUGUCUUGAAUACUGUGGAGGUCAGCGGAAUAUGUCAUGUAGCGGUGAAAUGCUUAGAUAUGACAUAGAACACCAAUUGCGAAGGCAGCUGGCUACACAAAUAUUGACACUGAGGCACGAAAGCGUUGGGAUCAAACAGG
rnacentral:rRNA from 1 species